rnacentral:tRNA from 1 species
GCUUAUAUAGUAUACUAAAGUACUUAAUCUUUUCGCGAUUAAAGAGGAGUUAGCUCUUAUAAGUU